UACGAAGGGUGCAAGCGUUAUUCGGAAUCAUUGGGCGUAAAGGGCGCGUAGGCGGCUUCAUAAGUCUUGGGUGAAAGCCCUCGGCUCAACCGAGGAAUUGCCUUGGAUACUGUGAAGCUCGAGGCUGGAAGAGGGCAGUGGAAUUCCCGGUGUAGCGGUGAAAUGCGUAGAUAUCGGGGAGGAACACCAGUGGCGAAGGCGGCUGCCUGGGCCAGUUCUGACGGCUGAGGCGGCGAAAGCGUGGGGAGCAAACAGG
rnacentral:rRNA from 1 species